GAGCCGCGCUCCCGGCGAGCCGCGGCGGGGGAAUUACUUUGGCGUCCGCCCGACCUCCCCUCUGCGCGCUCGGGACGGCUGUGCCCGGCCCCCGCCCCGGCCCCGCCGCCGCCCCAGCGCGGCCGCGGCGCUGCCCCGCGGGUGACUGACCGUUGUUGCGGCGCGGGUUCGGCUGCUUCCUGCGCUUACACCUGGGGCCAUCCGCCAUGAUCCGCUCGCUGGUGUCUAAAUGCUCCAGUCACCUCCUCCCCCGCCCGCCCCCCUCACUCCCUCCCCUCCCCCCCGGACCUGGUUUACGACACUGGGUGGUUUUACUUUUACAUCACCUUCCUACACCUAGCGCUCGCCCGGAACCUUGUUGCCACGGGAGACGGGCGCUUUACGGCAGCGCAUUUGAACGGCGGCGGGGGAAAAGUUACGCCCGCAGGGCCGAGCGAGAACCAGCAGCUGGACCACGGUGACGCCGUUCCCACCGUGCGUGGUCUGCCGCGCUCGGGCUUCCCUUAGUCAUACUUCCCGGUUCUGCAAAGAGGAGGAGAGGUAUAAAAUUCGGUGCCGUAACGAAUAAAAAGAAGAGAGGAAUUUUUCACGGAUAAUUAAUAAGCAACCUCUGUUGUACUUAAUAAACUUAUUUAAUGUAUAUAAAAAUUAAAAUCACCAAACACUUGUGCUAUUUAUUUACUCUUGCUUUUCACUUCAGGCAAUAAAAUAAUUUAUUAAGUUUG